rnacentral:rRNA from 1 species
CCUACGGGAGGCAGCAGUGGGGAAUAUUGCACAAUGGGCGAAAGCCUGAUGCAGCAACGCCGCGUGAGCGAUGAAGGCCUUCGGGUCGUAAAGCUCUGUCCUCAAGGAAGAUAAUGACGGUACUUGAGGAGGAAGCCCCGGCUAACUACGUGCCAGCAGCCGCGGUAAUACGUAGGGGGCUAGCGUUAUCCGGAAUUACUGGGCGUAAAGGGUGCGUAGGUGGUUUCUUAAGUCAGAGGUAAAAGGCUACGGCUCAACCGUAGUAAGCCUUUGAAACUGGGGAACUUGAGUGCAGGAGAGGAGAGUGGAAUUCCUGGUGUAGCGGUGAAAGGCGUAGAGAUUAGGAGGAACACCAGUGGCGAAGGCGUCUUACUGGACCGAAACUGACGUUGAGGCUCGAAAGCGUGGGGAGCAAACAGGAUUAGAUACCCGGGUAGUC